CCUACGGGUGGCAGCAGUGAGGAAUAUUGGUCAAUGGACGAGAGUCUGAACCAGCCAAGUAGCGUGAAGGAUGACUGCCCUAUGGGUUGUAAACUUCUUUUAUAUGGGAAUAAAACGUUCCACGUGUGGGAUUUUGUAUGUACCAUAUGAAUAAGGAUCGGCUAACUCCGUGCCAGCAGCCGCGGUAAUACGGAGGAUCCGAGCGUUAUCCGGAUUUAUUGGGUUUAAAGGGAGCGUAGGUGGAUUGUUAAGUCAGUUGUGAAAGUUUGCGGCUCAACCGUAAAAUUGCAGUUGAAACUGGCAGUCUUGAGUACAGUAGAGGUGUGCGGAAUUCGUGGUGUAGCGGUGAAAUGCUUAGAUAUCACGAAGAACUCCGAUUGCGAAGGCAGUUCACUGGACUGUAACUGACACUGAGGCUCGAAAGUGUGGGUAUCAAACAGGAUUAGAUACCCUUGUAGUC
rnacentral:rRNA from 1 species